CAAUUUCAUAAGAAAUUUUUUUACCGUUGAAUAUCUCGUGAUUCUUCACUGAGAGGAUGCAACAUUUUUCACUAUGGCGAUUCUUCAUUGAGCGUCUUGAUCAACGUCUCUCGUAUCUCUCGCGAUUCUUCACUUCGCGCUUUUCCAAUCAAUUUCAGAAUCAUUUACGAUACUGUAAUAAUUGAUAUGAGUGGUGUGAUCAUCAACAAAUUGAGAUUGCAAAGUCUUAAUCAACUUUCUGCCAAUAGAUUCUAGCAUAUGAAGCUUUUUUGAUAUUAUUACCUACAGAACAGGAGCAGGAAGAAAACCGACCCAUGAUUUUCUGUCACUCUACAAUAAUUCAACUGUUGAACAAGAUCCAAGGCCCUCUGCUCAAGGUUUUUCAAUGUCAUCUAAAGAAUUACAUUUGUGCAGCCCAAUAAGGACUUGAAUUUGCAGUUUAAUUUGCUUGAUCGUUAGUGGAUUACUGCAGGUCCCUACUUCUCAUGGCAGUUAUGCGAGAAAUUUCUACAACCUUGCACUCCCACUCAAAACCUCACACUUCUCUUUUUUAAUGUCUCUUCCUUUGUAGAAAGACUUCCCAGAUUUUUGUUAAAGGUUUCCAUUUUGACUGGUACUACCGCUCGUCUGUAUAAGAAGGAUGAACGACUUCAACACAUUCUAUAUGCAAGUUGUGUUUGAAGUAUUGAAGCAUCUUUAUAGACUGUUUAAUGCCAUAUUAAAGGUUUCCUCAAGUGGUUCCCCAAUUAUAGAUUGGUAAGGCAGGGCAGUGGCUCUUAAUGUUGGGAGCAAGGCAGAGCAGUGCUGAAAUUGUGUGACACUUCAUGUUGUAACCAUAAUUUAUUCUCAGUUAGAAAAUAGUUAUACCUAUAUUUGACGUAAUUGAUCUCAAAUUUCUCCCUAACUAUGUUACAUUAUUUUUAUAAAAUAGAUUAUAAAUUUAUUAAUUUAAAAGAACUUUCAAAAGUAAUUUCAAUAGUUUCAAAUUAUGUAUGUGUUGUAUAUCAUGUUUUAGGAUUAGUUGGGAAUUAGGUAAGAAAUAGAUAUGUUGCUAGGGAAUCAGAAUUUUGUACAAUGUUUACUGUGAAUUAGCUUGAGAUUUGCUUUUGAUUA